UCCAUGGCUCUGGAUUCACCAUUCCAGACCAACGUGGGCUCCCAGCCUCUGUCUCCCAUUGUUUCCCCUUCCUGAGUAAAUCCAGGGAUUCACAACUUAUUUGUGAGGGAGAAGGAAAUUUGGGAAUGCACAGACAGCUCUGUAAUUCCUCACUUUCAAGGAAUUCCUCAGAAUAUUUAUCCAGAUCAGGAUAAAUAUUUCUCUGUAGAACUAAAAUCAACCUUGCUAGUUGAAGGGAAAUAAAAAGAUUUGAUGGAUUUCCUUGCUUUCCAGGGAAAACCUGGUUUGCCAGGCCCUGUGGGGCUCCACGGGGCUCCUGGACUGCCUGGACCACAGGGAGAAAAGGGAAUGGCAGGGAUUGGCAUUCCUGGCACUGCUGGCACGAAGGGGGAAGAAGGAGAGCAGGGAAUGAUGGGACCUCCAGGAGCACCAGGACCAAAGGGAAUUCCAGGACCUCCAGGGCAGAAGGGAGACCAAGGAAAUCCAGGAUUUCCAGGUGCUCCAGCCUUGGAGGUAACUUGGAGUGGUUGAGAGCCCUUCUUGUCCUUCAGCUGUGCAGCUUCAACCCCAAAAUUCCAGCAUUCCAAGAGCUGUGUCCCACAGAACCGUGGGAAGAACACCCAGACCUUUUCCCUGACCCUCCUGCCAAACUUGUCC
rnacentral:lncRNA from 1 species